GCUGGGGAACCUGCUGGCAAAGACCCCAGACACUGACAAGCUCCACUACAUCUUGGAGCACAUUAACUACUGGACCGUGUCCAGGGUGCCACAAGAGAGAGCCAGGGCCAUCAGGAGCAGCGCGGCCCUGCUCACGUCCGUCAUCUCCCUCCCUGACUUUGACAACUCAGCCGAAUUCCCCAGGAUGGGUCACCACGUGGCA